GGUUUUUUCCCCCCCCGUAAAGAUUGUCCGCUGUCAUUUGUAUAAUAUUAAUAAGCCCGACACCGUGGAGAACAGACGGAAGAAUCUAAUUCUUUUUACUUCAUCUGGUCUUGCUCCCAGCAUCCAGAUCUUCAACAGUACCUACUCCAAAGUCUUCUACUUCAAAAUGACUCUGGGAGAAGGUGUGGAUUCGUGGAGUAUUGAAAUCCAACGAGAAGAGUUAACAUAUAAUACAGAUGUUGCUCCAAUUGAGGAAUGGCUUGUAAAAUUUAAUAUGCAUCAUGGUUUAAAUAUGUUCACUACUACGGGAACCUUGUUGGAUAUUGUACGAGAUCCUCUUCUUCAGUGGUAUUGGUCCCUUGGUGAAGAU